GCAGUGGGGGUUCAGUGAUAGAAUUCUUGCCUCCCAUGCAGGAGAGCUGGGUUGGAUUCCUGGCCAAGGCA
rfam:Loxodonta africana unplaced genomic scaffold scaffold_43, whole genome shotgun sequence.